UACGGAGGAUGCAAGCGUUAUCCGGAUUCAUUGGGUUUAAAGGGUGCGUAGGCGGAAGAAUAAGUCAGGGGUGAAAGCCGGCAGCUUAACUGUCGAAUUGCCUUUGAUACUGUUUUUCUUGAGUUUGGUUGAAGUGGGCGGAAUGUGAAGUGUAGCGGUAAAAUGCAUAGAGAUUUCACAGAACACCGAUUGCGAAGGCAGCUCACUAAGCCACAACUGACGCUGAUGCACGAAAGCGUGGGGAUCAAACAGG
rnacentral:rRNA from 1 species